rnacentral:rRNA from 1 species
GGAAAUCUCACCAGGCCCGGACACUGGAAGGAUUGACAGAUUGAUAGCUCUUUCUUCAGUGGGUGGUGGUGCAUGGCCGUUCUUAGUUGGUUGAGUGAUUUGUCUUGUUAAUUCCGAUAACGAACGAGACUCUGUCCUGCUAAAAAGUGUCUGCUUCUCUUUUGAGCAGACAAUUCUUCUUAGAGGGACUAUCGGAUUCAAACCGAUGGAAGUGUGAGGCAAUAA